AGCGUAGACGGCAGGGCAAGUCCGAUGUGAAAACCCGGGGCUCAACCGCGGGAUUGCAUUGGAAACUGCUCGGCUCGAGUACUGGAGGGGUAAGCGGAAUUCCUAGUGUAGCAGUGAAAUGCGUAGAUAUUAGGAGGAACACCGGCGGCGAAGGCGGCUUACUGGACAGUAACUGACGUUGAGGCUCGAAAGCGUGGGGAGCAAACA
rnacentral:rRNA from 1 species